rnacentral:rRNA from 1 species
CCUACGGGUGGCUGCAGUGGGGAAUAUUGGACAAUGGGGGGAACCCUGAUCCAGCCAUGCCGCGUGUGUGAAGACGGCCCUCGGGUUGUAAAGCACUUUCAGUGAGGAAGAACGCCUGGUGGUUAAUACCCAUCAGGAAAGACAUCACUCACAGAAGAAGCACCGGCUACCUCCGUGCCAGCAGCCGCGGUAAUACGGAGGGUGCGAGCGUUAAUCGGAAUUACUGGGCGUAAAGCGCGCGUAGGUGGCUUGAUAAGCCGGUUGUGAAAGCCCCGGGCUCAACCUGGGAACGGCAUCCGGAACUGGCAAGCUAGGGUGCAGGAGGGGAAGGUAGAAUUCCCGGUGUAGCGGUGAAAUGCGUAGAGAUCGGGAGGAACACCAGUGGCGAAGGCGGCCUUCUGGGCCGACACUGACACUGAGGUGCGAAAGCGUGGGGAGCGAACAGGAUUAGAUACCCCAGUAGUC